rnacentral:rRNA from 1 species
ACAUGGCUACAACAUAGCAUUAAUGCACCAGAUCCCAUUAUAAAUCCAUAGUUAAGCAUGCUCAGGCUAGAGUAGUACGAGGAUGGUUGACUGCCUGAGAAGUACUAGUGUUUUACAUGCC